rnacentral:rRNA from 1 species
GAUGAACGCUGGCGGCGUGCCUAAUACAUGCAAGUCGAGCGAACAGAUAAGGAGCUUGCUCCUUUGACGUUAGCGGCGGACGGGUGAGUAACACGUGGUAACCUACCUAUAAGACUGGGAUAACUUCGGGAAACCGGAGCUAAUACCGGAUAAUAUUUCGAACCGCAUGGUUCGAUAGUGAAAGAUGGUUUUGCUAUCACUUAUAGAUGGACCCGCGCCGUAUUAGCUAGUUGGUAAGGUAACGGCUUACCAAGGCGACGAUACGUAGCCGACCUGAGAGGGUGAUCGGCCACACUGGAACUGAGGCACGGUCCAGACUCCUACGGGAGGCAGCAGUAGGGAAUCUUCCGCAAUGGGCGAAAGCCUGACGGAGCAACGCCGCGUGAGUGAUGAAGGUCUUCGGAUCGUAAAACUCUGUUAUUAGGGAAGAACAUACGUGUAAGUAACUGUGCACGUCUUGACGGUACCUAAUCAGAAAGCCACGGCUAACUACGUG